rnacentral:lncRNA from 1 species
CUGUGCAUUUAACAGGUGUGUGUGUGUGUGUGUGUGUGCAUGCACAUGUGCACACACAUGUGCACACGUAUGCACAUGUAUGUGUAGGUCAGAGUUGCAUAUCAGGUGUCUUCUUCAGUUGCUCUUUAUCUUAUUUUCUGAGACGGGGUCUCUUGAGGAACAGUAAACCAUGCCAGGAAGCUUGGUGGGUAGAGCAGGUUUGAGACCCUAGACAUUCACUGGGUUCACAUCUAAGAUGGUAGGUGCCUCCCUGCCAAAUUUCUGACCUGGAACACGUGACACACUUCCCACAUAGGAAACAUGUCCUAUGGUCAUGUGGGCCCCGAACAGAGUUCUCCAUAAUAGUGAGACACCUAGAGAACUUGAGGGUAAACCAAUGAGCUUCCCUUCCCUGACUUUCCCCCUGCAAAAGGUAUUUAGUCUCAGGUCCACCCCGAGAAGUUGGUAUGGAACGCAUCCAUUUUCCACUAUGAACAACCAAUAAAUAGUUUGGAAUCAAGGACUGUCUCUUUCAUCAAGAACCACCGUGAGGAGGAUGGAGCAGGCCUUUGCCCACGGAGCCACUGCCUAAGUCUCCCUUAGAAGGUCUCUCUGUGCUCCCUCCCAGCCACAGCUGCAGCCAAGCUAGCCAAGCUAACGACCUUCAGAUGAGCAAAGCCAGGGCUUCCCAUCACUCCCCAGGCCCAGCCUAGUCAUGGUCCUCAGCCUACAGGCUCCCAACUCUGCUCUCGACUCCUCGGAGACUCAGCAGUGCCUGAAGGUCCAGGAAUUUGGGAGCACCGGGUCCUAGCCUCGUCAAGGGCCUGUGAACUCCCAACACUUCGUUCACUCCUUCCGUUCUCCAGCAGCGGCUUUCCCACAUCUCUGACUGCAUUUUCCCACCCCUGGAGUGCUGUCUCAAUGCUUCCCUAAAGCCCAGCACCUGCCCAGUGGCGGCGUGAGCAGUCAAACUCCCUCCAGCAAGGCUGCACCUGCUAAACCUCCGCAAACUGGACCACAGCUGAGGAGGGAGUAUUCAAAUGCAUGGACCCGUGGGGAACAUUCCUCAUUCAAACCGCUACAGUAAGUAUUCUGUCGUUCCUCGCCUCCCUUGAUCAGAGCUAGAAAUGAGCCUGUCCAAUCAAGCCUACCUCUGACCAAGCCAGGAAGUGGGGGAGGGAGAGGGCUGUCUGCGUGAUUCUGAUCAGUAUAGCCUUGCACCACUGAACUCCACUGGGCCCUUUAUGAAGGAGGUCCCUCUCACUCCGUGCGGAGGAAAAGAUGUGGCCAGCAGAGA